UACGAAGGGGGCUAGCGUUGCUCGGAAUCACUGGGCGUAAAGCGCACGUAGGCGGAUUGCUAAGUCAGGGAUGAAAUCCUGGAGCUCAACUCCAGAACUGCCUUUGAUACUGGCGAUCUCGAGUUCGGGAGAGGUGAGUGGAACUGCGAGUGUAGAGGUGAAAUUCGUAGAUAUUCGCAAGAACACCAGUGGCGAAGGCGGCUCACUGGCCCGAUACUGACGCUGAGGUGCGAAAGCGUGGGGAGCAAACAGG
rnacentral:rRNA from 1 species